rnacentral:rRNA from 1 species
GGAKUGGCGGGUGCUAUACAUGCAGUCGAACGCUUUGUGGUUCAACUGAUUUGAAGAGCUUGCUCAGAUAUGACGAUGGACAUUGCAAAGAGUGGCGAACGGGUGAGUAACACGUGGGAAACCUACCUCUUAGCAGGGGAUAACAUUUGGAAACAGAUGCUAAUACCGUAUAACAAUAGCAACCGCAUGGUUGCUACUUAAAAGAUGGUUCUGCUAUCACUAAGAGAUGGUCCCGCGGUGCAUUAGUUAGUUGGUGAGGUAAUGGCUCACCAAGACGAUGAUGCAUAGCCGAGUUGAGAGACUGAUCGGCCACAAUGGGACUGAGACACGGCCCAUACUCCUACGGGAGGCAGCAGUAGGGAAUCUUCCACAAUGGGCGAAAGCCUGAUGGAGCAACGCCGCGUGUGUGAUGAAGGGUUUCGGCUCGUAAAACACUGUUGUAAGAGAAGAAUGACAUUGAGAGUAACUGUUCAAUGUGUGACGGUAUCUUACCAGAAAGGAACGGCUAAAUACGUGCCAGCAGCCGCGGUAAUACGUAUGUUCCAAGCGUUAUCCGGAUUUAUUGGGCGUAAAGCGAGCGCAGACGGUUAUUUAAGUCUGAAGUGAAAGCCCUCAGCUCAACUGAGGAAUUGCUUUGGAAACUGGAUGACUUGAGUGCAGUAGAGGAAAGUGGAACUCCAUGUGUAGCGGUGAAAUGCGUAGAUAUAUGGAAGAACACCAGUGGCGAAGGCGGCUUUCUGGACUGUAACUGACGUUGAGGCUCGAAAGUGUGGGUAGCAAACAGGAUUAGAUACCCUGGUAGUCCACACCGUAAACGAUGAGUGCUAGGUGUUUGAGGGUUUCCGCCCUUAAGUGCCGCAGCUAACGCAUUAAGCACUCCGCCUGGGGAGUACGACCGCAAGGUUGAAACUCAAAGGAAUUGACGGGGACCCGCACAAGCGGUGGAGCAUGUGGUUUAAUUCGAAGCAACGCGAAGAACCUUACCAGGUCUUGACAUCCCUUGACACUCCAGAGAUGGAGCGUUCCCUUCGGGGACAGGUGACAGGUGGUGCAUGGUUGUCGUCAGCUCGUGUCGUGAGAUGUUGGGUUAAGUCCCCGCAACGAGCGCAACCUUAUUACUAGUUGCCAGCAUUCAGUGGCACUCUAGUGAGACUGCCGUGACAUGAGAGUGGGGAUGACGUCAAUCAUCAUGCCCUAUGACUGGGCUACCACUGCCUACAUGGCUUAUACACGGUUGCAACCCGCAGGGGUGAACCUAAUCCCCU